rnacentral:miRNA from 1 species
UGAGUGAGAUACGCCUCGUGGA